GACCCACUAAUCCUCUGAAUGGAUUGACUUGUAUUAAAGAGGCUUGAAAAACCUCCUCUGACAGGGCUGACUGAGAGGACCUUGGAAAGGACUGACUUGCUGAUUAGCUUAGGAGCCCCGGGCUCCUAAGGGGAGAGAAGUAGGGAGUGAAAUGGCAAGUGUCAUUYCAAGGAAGGACGAGGGAGCAGGUUUUUCCAUUCCUUUUUGCACAAGUCCCGUAAAUAAGGUACAGAGCAGCCUAUGGAAAAGUCCAAAGAUACCCUGCUUAUUUAGGAGGACAGCAGCACCAGAGGAGCCUUUGGAAAGCCACAAUGUGACACAAAAAGAGAUGCCCUUCAGGACUGCUGUGGCCUUUUAGGGCUGCCUGAGUGUUGACUACCCCAAGUGAACAGCAGAAUUUUUUGAUGUAGAGCUGUGCAACAUUUCCAGCCUUAUUAUUUAAAACCUUCCUUUUUCUAUUAAGUUUUGUCUUUUUAGUAACAACUUUUCCACUUGUUUCACGAAUACCCCACCAGCCUUUAAAGCAAGAAAAAAGUGUGCUAAUUUUUGUACUGUAACCUCAGUUGCGUGCAUGUCAGCAACUAGGAAGGUAGGUGYGUAUUUAGAUUACAGGGUAAUACCUGAUUCAGUUGCACUGUGUYGGGAGAGCAAAAAUUAAACGAGAAGUUAGACCUGAAUCCAGCUUCACAGGGUUUCCAUAUGGAAAAUGGAUUAUGGAUCCUUUUAUGAAGUAUUACAAGAUUAUAUGCUUGUGCACCCACAUCUGCAUGAGUGGAGAAGAAAAGGAAGUUUAUUAAAAACAAAAAGAAGCACUGGAUCUCUCCUUGCAGAUGAAAAUUUUGGACUUUAGAAUGAUCUUUGUUCAUUGGGAGUUUUUUAGUUGGGGCAGGGCAGGGAAGUGUUAGAAUAUCACUACUUGGUGCCAUUUCAAAUUGGAGGAGGACAGCAAGGUUAUGUUCUGUACGUGACCCUUUUUUGGUCUUUGCUAAAAUAAGAGAUAUGCUGCCUUUUAUAUACUCGUUGUGAACUUUUACUCUGAAAUAUUUGUGAGGAAACCAAUGUGGAGACUGAGUAAGCUAAUUCUUGAGUGAAGCCCUGCCUUGUGCGUAUCCUCCCACGAGGUUUUGACUGCUGUGCGAGGAAUUAUCCAACGCACUAAAACCUCGGAUUCGUGCAUCAAAUCCCCUUGAGCACCAGGCCUCCCACUUGCAUCAACAGAACCAAUAAGCCCCGGAAGCCACGUUGUCUUUCUCCGAAACGUUUUGAGCUGCUGUACAGAUUUCUGAGAAGAAGCUGUAAAUCAAAGCUGCUUUAAUGUGUUAUAGUAAAUUCAGGCCUUGUGCAAAAUACUUGUUUCUUUGUCUAAUUAUACAGUCUCUGUAUUAGUGGUAGCUUUAUGUUUAGGUUGUUAAACAUUGAAGUUCUCCUGAGAUGUAUCAAGUGAUGUUGCUGUAGAUUCAUAACCGGGACUGCCCUAGCAUGGCAUUAGUGUAUCUCUGGUUUGUUGGACAGCUCUUCAAAAACAAAUUUAUUCUUGUAUCAACUUUUAGAUCAGAUACUUUAAAGCUAUGUAAAAGCUACAGUGAUCAUUUCAAGGAAUUCAUAUCACUUUGUACCGUGAAUGAGGUUGCCUAUGGAAAUAAAUGAACUUUUAAUAUUUUCAU